UCAAGUAGCAGCAGCUCC
rnacentral:misc_RNA from 1 species